GUCUUUUUGAGUAUAAUUUAAAGUCUAACCUGCCCAAUGAGUAGUUGAAUGGCCGCAGUAUUUUGACUGUGCAAAGGUAGCAUAAUCAUUAGUUUCUUAAUUAGAAACUGGUAUGAAAGGUUGAACGAGAAAAUAACUGUCUCUUUAUAAAUUUUUUAGAAUUUUAUUUUUAAGUUAAAAAGCUUAAAUUUGUUUAAAAGACGAGAAGACCCUAUAGAGUUUUAUAUAAUUUUAUUUAAUAGUUUAAAUUGAAUUAUUAAAAUUUUAUUUAAAUUUUAUAUUUAAUUGGGGUGAUUAAAAAAUUUAUUAAACUUUUUUUUUAUAAAAACAUUAAUUUAUGAUUUGUUGAGCCAUAAAAUAUUUAUGAUUAAAAGAUUAAAUUACCUUAGGGAUAACAGCGUAAUUUCUUUUUAGAGUUCUAAUCGAUAAAGAAGUUUGCGACCUCGAUGUUGGAUUAAAAUUUAAUUUUGGUGUAGAAGCUAAAAUAUUAGGUCUGUUCGACCUUUAAAAUUUUACAUGAUCUGAGUUUAAACCGGUGUGAGCCAGGUUGGUUUCUAUCUUUAAGCUAAAAAAAUAUUUUAGUACGAAAGGACCAAGUAUUUAUAUAAUUUAUUAUAAAUUGAAUAUUAUUAAU
rnacentral:rRNA from 1 species